AUUAGCUCAGUUGGUAGAGCUUCGGAUUCCAGUCCCGAGGGUCGGGCGUUCAAGUCG
rnacentral:tRNA from 15 species